UACGAAGGUGGCAAGCGUUGUUCGGAUUUACUGGGCGUACAAGGCGCGUAGGCGGUUGGAUAAGCCCUCCGUGAAAUCUCCAGGCUUAACCUGGAAAGUGCAGAGGGGACUGUUCAGCUAGAGGAUGGGAGAGGAGCGCGGAAUUCCCGGUGUAGCGGUGAAAUGCGUAGAGAUCGGGAGGAAGGCCGGUGACGAAGGCGGCGCUCUGGAACAUUUCUGACGCUGAGGCUCGAAAGCGUGGGGAGCAAACAGG
rnacentral:rRNA from 1 species